rnacentral:lncRNA from 1 species
GUAAUUAAGAAAUAUCAUUAGAUUCUCUUCUCUCAUUCAUCCUGCGGCCUCUUUUCUACUUUGAUAUAGAUUCAAAAAUAUUUUUCUAUCGUUAAUAAAAUUGCAGCAGCAAUAUCACAUGAGAAGCACAUGAGAAUCUUCAAUUGGAUGAGCAUUAUCUGUUCUUUUUAACAUAAUAUUUAAAAUUAUUUAUUGGUGCACUUGAACCCACAUCAUCCUAUAUUGAUAACAAUAUCUGUUACAAGCUCAAUUUGCUCGGCCCAUUUACAACCCCUAAACCCAAUCCUAAAUAAACCCACUAAACCUAUUAACCCAAGUCAUUACAGCCCAAAUGACCCCCAAGCCCACAUAGCCCAAUACAUUAAAGAAAAAGAGGAAACCUAAAACCCCCACUUGCCUCUAACGGCGCCGCACCUAACCGCCUGCCACCGUUGCUGUUGCUGAGCCACCUGCUCCAUCUGCAUACAUUAAUGGAGAAAAGACAGCAAUAGAAAUAAGAAAAGAAAAUCAAAAUGAAAUGUAAUUUUUAUUUCGACUAUAUAAAGCCUUCUAAAUGCAUUGUAAGGGUCUUCUUUUUUUUCUUUUCGGACUUUCAAUGAGAAAAGUGGUUUAAACACUACUAAAUCAAAAGCAAAAACAGACCCUAAAAGAGAAAAAUCCAAAUCGAAAAUAAAAAGGUGAUUCUAAUUUCUUUAGUUUGGGAUCUUUUCUUUUUUUUUUUUUCUCCUUUGUCUACACAUAACACAUAUAUAUAUAUUAGAUAAUAUAAAAAAAUACCUUUGGCGAUUUCCAGCCACCGUGUACGGUGGCCGGCACGGCGGAGCUACGGUGGGAGUGGCCGGACCUUUCUGGCCAGUUCUGGGAUUUACCCAGAGAGAAAACAGUUCCCUCUCUCUUCUUUUUUCUAAAACUCAGGGAAAAAUGAAAUUUUUUUCUGAAAUAUUAGCUUUUAUAUCCCGCUG